GAUUUGCUUUGAAUUAACAAAUGUCUCGUCAGGCUGCAGCGCUAGAGCAGUGCUCGUGCAUAACUGGGGCCACACACACUCCCGGGUGGCGCCUUUAACCGCGAGCGACACAC
ensembl:snoRNA